GACAGAGGGUGCAAACGUUUGUUCGGAAUUACUGGGCGUAAAGCGCGUGUAGGCUGCUUCGCAAGUCGGAUGUGAAAGCCCUGGGCUCAACCCAGGAAGUGCAUUCGAAACUGCAGAGCUGGAGUCCUGGAGAGGAAGGCGGAAUUCUCGGUGUAGAGGUGAAAUUCGUAGAUAUCGAGAGGAACACCGGUGGCGAAGGCGGCCUUCUGGACAGUGACGUGACGCUGAGACGGCGAAAGCGUGGGGAAGCAAACAGGG
rnacentral:rRNA from 1 species